rnacentral:rRNA from 1 species
AUGCUGUGAGCUCGAUGAGUAGGGCGGGACACGUGGUAUCCUGUCUGAAUAUGGGGGGACCAUCCUCCAAGGCUAAAUACUCCUGACUGACCGAUAGUGAACCAGUACCGUGAGGGAAAGGCGAAAAGAACCCCGGCGAGGGGAGUGAAAAAGAACCUGAAACCGUGUACGUACAAGCAGUGGGAGCCUCUUUAUGGGGUGACUGCGUACCUUUUGUAUAAUGGGUCAGCGACUUAUAUUCUGUAGCAAGGUUAACCGAAUAGGGGAGCCGAAGGGAAACCGAGUCUUAACUGGGCGUUAAGUUGCAGGGUAUAGACCCGAAACCCGGUGAUCUAGCCAUGGGCAGGUUGAAGGUUGGGUAACACUAACUGGAGGACCGAACCGACUAAUGUUGAAAAAUUAGCGGAUGACUUGUGGCUGGGGGUGAAAGGCCAAUCAAACCGGGAGAUAGCUGGUUCUCCCCGAAAGCUAUUUAGGUAGCGCCUCGUGAAUUCAUCUCCGGGGGUAGAGCACUGUUUCGGCAAGGGGGUCAUCCCGACUUACCAACCCGAUGCAAACUGCGAAUACCGGAGAAUGUUAUCACGGGAGACACACGGCGGGUGCUAACGUCCGUCGUGAAGAGGGAAACAACCCAGACCGCCAGCUAAGGUCCCAAAGUCAUGGUUAAGUGGGAAACGAUGUGGGAAGGCCCAGACAGCCAGGAUGUUGGCUUAGAAGCAGCCAUCAUUUAAAGAAAGCGUAAUAGCUCACUGGUCGAGUCGGCCUGCGCGGAAGAUGUAACGGGGCUAAACCAUG